rnacentral:rRNA from 1 species
ACACGACUCUUGGCAACGGAUAUCUCGGCUCUCGCAUCGAUGAAGAACGUAGCGAAAUGCGAUACCUGGUGUGAAUUGCAGAAUCCCGCGAACCAUCGAGUCUUUGAACGCAAGUUGCGCCCGAGGCCAUUCGGCCGAGGGCACGCCUGCCUGGGCGUCACGC